rnacentral:lncRNA from 1 species
CGGAUACUAAUAAUUCUCAAGGGGAGCACCUGGGCUCUAGCGAAAUGACUACUGUCGAUGCUUGAGGUGGGUCUGUCGUUUUCAUAUGUUCUUUUUAUCGUAUGUUUGAUGUUACCAAGUAUUUUUGUUUGAAACUGUCAUUGGUGUGCAUCUCCAAAGUUUUUUAGGGUAGUUAGAGAUUACUUUGCUGAGUUUGAUGUUGAUGUUACGACUUUCCUUGAAACUCGAGUUAAUGGUAUGAAGGCAGAUGGAACCAUAGCUAAAAUCGGGUUGGAUUGCUCUCACAGAAUUGAAUCUAGAGGUUUUUCUGGGGGUUUAUGGAUUUGUUGGAAAAAUAGCAUUCAGGUUCAGAUUAUCCUAAAUGAUCCACAGUUUAUUCAUUGUCGUUUGGGGAAGAACAGGGGCUCUAUGAAUGUAUUAGUAACUUUUGUUUAUGGUUUUCCAGACAAACAAGAACACAAAAUCUUAUGGGACUGGUUAGAGCAAAUUGCUUACUCCAUCAACAAGUCUUACGACACCCCAAGUUGGUUCGGUCCGGGUCAAUGACGACUCGGUUGGUCCGGUCUAGCCACCGGUUGGAUUGUCGGUCCGGUUUCACAUACCGAACUCGGUUUAACCAGUUUUUGGGUCUUGGUCUGGGUUUUGGGCUCCCGAACUCAAUUUACAAUCUUAGGUCUAAUUUUCAAAUUCAA